CGCCUUAGGACCCGGGGCCGCGACUGGUGCGGGAGGCAGCUAAUCAGGGCGGUACUUGCAGACCGGGUUGAAGUCCAGGGCCCAGGAACGCUAGGGAAACCGAAAGCAGGCUAUGGGUUGGGCCUGCGGUGGGGCGGGGCUGGGGGUGUGGCCGCGCCCUGAACAAGGAGCAAGGCCAGUACAUAAAGGUUCCUGGGAGCCAAAGGAGCAAGUCAGGGAAGUAGCUUUGGUUGGGUUUCGUGGUAUACAAAGCACAAGGCCUGGGUUGGGUUCGGAGGAAAUGAGGCUUGCGGCGGGGCGGGACUGAAGGUAUGGCAGCGCCCUGAACCUGGAGCAAGGCUGGUACAUAAACGCCUACGUCACAAUCUGGAGUCAGCUGGAGUGUCCCAUCAGGCCAUCUGGAGUGAAACUGAAGUCUGCCCAGAGCUGCUGGAAGCCCCAGCUGCCCUGCUGCCCUCAGAGCCCUCUGAGAAGAAUGACUCCAGAGGCCCUCAGCUCCUUGGAGGAGGCUCUGGAAUUUGAACCACCAUCUUCUGGACUGACUCAAAUGCAGAGGAAGCCAGGCCUGCUGCUAACAUUUGUAAGAGGCGGCAAGAGUAUAAAUGGAGAUCCACAUAUGUAUAAAUAAUUAAAGAGUGUGAAUCAAGCUAACAAACUGUUGAAUAAAAUAUGAUCUACCCUCUUAGCUUGACAAAUCAACUUUUCCAACACCUGGAAGAACAAGUUUGCACUCAGCAUUCUCAGACUCCUCAGAGUUCUGCACUGGGAUGUGGAAGGGCUGUUCAAGCCAGCCCUUGGGUCCCUGAUCCCUGCCUCCCGGCCUGUGCCCGUCUCUUCUCAGCCCGGCUCCAACUCCCCUUGAGAGGAAGUUCUUGUACACAUAUGAUACUGCAGCCCCUAUGUCUAAUAUUUAUCCAUACCUUCUGCAAACAGCCACUGUGUGACGACCCUUGGGCUUAGGGGUCUGCAAACUGACAAUGCAGACAAAAGGAACCAAGGCAGAGGCUCACAGACUCUAGAAAUGGGCUUGGGGUCAUUUGGGCAGAGACUUGUGGAAUCCCAGAUUCACCUCCCAAUACUAAACUGUCACUGAGUCCUUCAUCCGAAACUGCCUGUAAUUAGGAUGGCCAUGUGUAUCCCUUUACUGAGACACUCCCAGUGCCUGCCUGACACAGGAGCACAAUUACCAGUGGCUGCCCAAUCUACUCUCAAAAUACCUUGGUUUGCAGAAUACAUUGUCUUCACACACAUGAGGUGUGAAAUUUACUGGCUAGAGACACUCAUUAAGAAGAGGACUUUAAAGAUGGUGCUACAGCAAUAUACACAGAACAAAAGUAGCAAAUUCAUGAAACUAGAACACUCCCUUUUUCACAGUGCCUCCAGAGGCAUAGUUACAUCUGAUUUGUAUCAUAUUCUAUCCAAGUUAAAUGUUUCACCAUAAAUAAAAAUUGAUGAUUUUCAUGAAUUUCUCAUUCAAACACAUUCAUACAAUGCCUUUAUUAUGCCUCUCCUUUGGAAACUACAAAUGGGUUUAUUAUAGAACACCGGCCAGAAAUAUGACAUGCAUUCCAGAAAGAGAGGAAGACAGGGGAAGGAGACAGGUAGAGAGGAGAUAGAAAGAGACCAGGAAGGCCAAUGUGGUAUAGGCUUCAGGAAAAACAGCUGAGGUUGGGGAAUCAAUACCUCCUUUUCCAGAAAUUGCAUUAAAGGACUGAAAUGAAUUUGCAAAACAAUAAUUGAGGCUGACACCUGCUCUUGACAGAAGGGAUGAAUCAAGACCGAGCUGUGCUUUAGCACCUGCUGUGGGGAGAAAAGAAUAAGAGGGGAACUGCUAAAGCUUUUCGCCUAGAAAUGCUGAGUUUUUUAAUUGCUUUCUGAAGCCAAAAGAGAAAAUUACUCAUUAAGGUGGGGUUUGCUGAGUGAUUUUUGAACAACGGUUUGUUUGUUUGUCCUAGCUACUUCCAUGUAUUUGAAAACAUUUGCAAGGGCCCUUAUUCUGCAGAGCUUUCUUAGGUCUGAUGGAAUGAGAUGAGAAUAACAACUGCACACUCAGUGGGUAGGAUCUCAGGCAUGGGCUUUCAGACAUAAGAUGUGAUGCAGCGAAGAGGGGAACAAGUUAGAUCAGACAAUCUCCAAAGUUUUCUCUAACUGGAAAGUCUAAGGUUCUGCCAUUCAGUGGACUCCACAUGGGUUUGCUAAUCCCAUUUUACAGAAGGAAAGAUUCAAACAAGGAGAGAGCAAGGACACUGAAGGAGAGCGGGGUCUCUUCAUCAGUGCUCAGUAUGUGACCCACGGGGUCAGACUGACAAUUUAGAAAAGAGGAGCCAAGGCCAUCACAAGGAUGCUCCACUGAAGCCUCAAGGAAAUGUGAUCCCACCAAUGGCAUCACAUCACAUGUGAGCUGCUGAGACAUGCAGAAUCUCUCACCCCUCCUCAAACCUACCAAUCACAAUCUGCAUUUCACGAGACCCCAAGUUCUUCAUAUACACAUUAGAGUUUGAGAAAUAUGGGCUCUGGUUUGCAUUUCUCUGAUGAUUAGUGAUGUUCAGCAGUGAUUACACUUAAAGUAGCAAGACUCUAGAAAGUAGUUACAACUAUGAACUAGCUUUUCAAAAAAUAUAAUUUCAACUUUCAGAUUCGAGGGGAUGCAUAUAUGUGCAGGUUUGUUAUAUGGGUAUAUUGUAUAUUGUGUGAUGCUGAGGUUUGGGAUAUGAAUGACCCCCUCACCCAGAUAGCAAGCAUAGUACUCAACAGUUUUUAACCCUUUCCCCUUCUCUCCCUCCCUCCUCUAGUAGUCUUCGGUGUCUAUAAGUGACAA